GCCCCCUUAGCUCAGUCGGUUAGAGCGACGGACUGUUAAUCCGCAGGUCUCAGGUUCAAGUCCUGAAGGGGGCG
rnacentral:tRNA from 1 species